AUUUGAAGAAUGCAUUUGAGGUAUGAACUCCUCUUUUCUUGAACAUUCAUUUAAUUGGCAUUGCAAACAUUAGCUGUUUUGGAUGUUAUGUUUUUAAAGUCUAUCAGCAUAUUUUAUAAUUGGAAAUCAUUCCCUGAUUAAAUUGGCCACCUUGUGCGGUUAUAAUCUUGAACUUUAUGGAUUCAUUAGGGCAUCUGAGUUAUAUUGAUACACUAAGUUGGUUAUAAGCACUGGACCACAAACAUGUGUGUCACAUGUAGGAGCAGGGGCUGUUAGGGUUAACUGAUGUUGUUGAGUAGUUGUAAUUCUGUUGAACAGUUGUAGCCAUUGUAGCUGAAUAACUAGAAGUUGUUAGGGAGUGAAUAUGGCGGGAACAGUGAAGAAGGAAGAUAAAUCUGUAUAAAUAAUACCAAGUGUAACAGAAGAUUCAUUCUAAGAAAUAUCAAGAAUUCUUGCAAUUACUUUGGCUAUCUUAUGUUCAGAGGACCUCAAAUCUACUUGUUUUAUACUGUUGAGAAAUUGGUUUGAAUAAAUUACUUUGGCUAUCUUAUGGUUGUUUAAUCUUUAGACAUUUUGAGAACGAGUAAGAAUUAAUAUGCACUUGCUCUCAUUCAUAUCUUUGUUGUUGAUUACAUAAAUGCUUUGAUCAAACUUGAUUCUGAUCUUCCUAAAACUCUGGGUUGUAGGGUGAGAUGGCAAAGUUUCCUU
rnacentral:misc_RNA from 1 species